CCGGGAAGAGCUCAAAUUUGAAAUCUGGCGUCCUCAGGGCGUCCGAGUUGUAAUCUAUAGAGGCGUUUUCCGUGCCGGACCGUGUCCAAGUUCCUUGGAACAGGAUAUCAAAGAGGGUGACAAUCCCGUACUUGACACGAUGACCGGUGCUCUGUGAUACGUCUUCUACGAGUCGAGUUGUUUGGGAAUGCAGCUCAAAAUGGGUGGUGAGUUCCAUCUAAAGCUAAAUAUUGGCGAGAGACCGAUAGCGAACAAGUACCGUGAGGGAAAGAUGAAAAGCACUUUGGAAAGAGAGUUAAACAGUACGUGAAAUUGUUGAAAGGGAAACGAUUGAAGUCAGUCGUGACUGAGAGGCUCAGCCGGUUCUGCCGGUGUAUUCCCCUCAGUCGGGUCAACAUCAGUUUUGUCCGGUGGAAAAGGGCGGUAGGAACGUGGCACCUCCGGGUGUGUUAUAGCCUGCCGUCGCAUACAUCGGGUGAGACUGAGGAAUGCAGCUCGCCUUUAUGGCCGGGGUUCGCCCACGUCCGAGCUUAGGAUGUUGACAUAAUGGCUUUAAACGACCCGUCUUGAA
rnacentral:rRNA from 1 species